UAUCUCUUAAAAACCCUAGUUGUUCGAAAGUUUCUGAUUUUUGUCCAUAACUAGAAAUAUCAAUCUCACUUAUUUAUGGAAGAAGUUCCAAUUUUUCCAAAAUUACAGGAUGCAGCUUUGAUUUCUAGCGACACGAAAUAAGGCUUAUUCGAAUCAGAUUCAAGGGUAGAUCUUGCAGCUUGAAGUUAUGUCUGCUUAUGGCCAUCAAAUGGAGGAGAACUAUUCUGCAAGGAGUCUCUCUGGUGGUUUUGAAUUGAGGAGCAGUUAUGUCUUGGAAUCAAGAUUCUACAUCACUUCUUUUGUAGUAACAAUCUUGAUUACCUCGCUUGCUACUGUUGGCCUCCUAAUGAUUACUAUGCUGGUUGCUCUGGCAUUUUGCUAUUAAAUCCUAAUUCAUCCAAUCUAUAUCAUAGGUUUCAUGAUAACAUUUUCUGCUGAGAUCCCGUGAAUGGUUCUAGGUGGCGGAAUAAGAGGUGGUGUGCUAGAAUGAAUUGGUGCAGGAUGAUGAGGCCUAAUGAUAGGUUGCUUGACACUUGGUGGAUUAGAUGCUCCAUAGCAACGAAACAAGAAGGACAAAAAUUAAGAAAUUAACUAUCAAAAAAUUAAUAAAUUAGUAAUUUAAGAGUAUUAAAACUAACCAUCAACUAACCAAGAAAUCAACAGUUUAACCGACAUGUCAAGUACUUAUCAGAAUAUUAAAACUAACUAGAAAUUAACUAACAGCUCAUAUAAUUUGAGUAUUAAUACUAGCAUAAUAAAGCACAUUUGGCAUUGGUAAUAUUAAGCUAAAUAACAUAUUACCUUUUGUUGGUCUGAAAUAAAAUUCCAUCCAUGGAUAUAUUGAUCCCCAAGAUCUUCUUGCAACAACGUGAGGAACCAUUUCCAACUUUCUUUAGUUUCACUAUCAACAACAGCAAACGCAAUUACAUAGAAAUAAUUGUUCGCAUCCUGACUUACAGCCGAUAGGAGUUGUCCCCCAAAGUAGCCCUUCAAGAAGCAACUAUCAAGUCCGAUUAGUUUUUUACACCCAGCUUUGAACCCCCUUUUACAAGCAUCUAGAGAAAUAUAUAGCUUAUUGAACAAUGGAGGGGACUGAGGCAUCGGUGUCACAUCUAAUAUGGUGGAGCUUCCUGGGUUACUCCUAAGGAUCUCACUUAAAUAAUCCCUCAACUUACUAUAUUGUGCUCUCUCAUUCCCGAUCACACGCUCUCUUGCUUCUUUGAGGGCCCUAUACACCAUCUUUCCAUUAAUGAUAACAUUGUAGUCGAUUUUGAUGUGCUCAUAGGCCUCACUUAGAGUAAUAUGAGGUUGAGUUCAGAGCCUCUUCUCCAACUUAUUGGCUACCCACUUCUGGUCAACCAUUGAUGAGCGGAUAUUUUAUACGCUUUUUGGGGGUAAUUUCAUAUAGUUUUUAGUAUGUUUUAGUUAGUUUUUAGUAUAUUUUUAUUAGUUUUUAGGAAAAAUUCAUAUUUCUAGACUUUACUUUGAGUUUGUGUAUUUUUCUGUGAUUUCAAGUAUUUUCUGGCUAAAAUUGAGGGAACUGAGAAAAAAUAUGAUUCAGGCUGAAAAAGGACUGCUGAUGCUAUUGGAUUCUAACCUCCCUGCAUUCGGAAUGGAUUUUUCGGAGCUACAGGAGUCCAAUUGGCGUGCUCUCAAUUGAGUUAGAAAGUAGACAUCCAGGGAUUUCCAGCAAUAUAUAAUAGUCCAUACUUUGCGCGAAGAUAAAUGACAUAAACUGGCGUUUAACGCCAGUUCCAUGUUGCAUUCUGGCGUUGAACGCCAGAAACAGGUUACAAGUUGGAGUUGAACGCCAGAAACAGGUUACAACCUGACGUUUAACUCCAGAAACAGCUCAGGCACGUGAGAAGCUCAAGUCUCAGCCCCAGCACACAUCAAGUGGGCCCCAGAAGUGGAUUUCUGCACUAUCCAUCUUAGUUUACUCAUUUUCUGUAAACUUAGGUUGCUAGCUUAGUAUUUAAACAACUUUUAGAGAUUUAUUUUGUAUCUCAUGAUAUUUUAGAUCUGAACUUUGUACUUUUUGACGGCAUGAGUCUCUAAACUCCAUUGUUGGGGGUGAGGAGCUCUGCAGCGUCUCGAUGAAUUAAUGCAAUUAUUUCUGUUUUCUAUUCAAACACGCUUGUUCCUAUCUAAGAUGUUCAUUCGAACUUCAAUAUGAAGAAGGUGAUGAUCCGUGACACUCAUCACCAUUCUCAACCCAUGAACGUGUGCCUGACAACCACCUCCAUUCUACCUUCGAUUGAAUGAAUAUCUCUUGGAUUCUUUAAUCAGAGUUUUCGUGGUAUAAGCUAGAAUCCAUUGGCAGCAUCCUUGAGAAUUCGAAAAGUCUAAACCUUGUCUGUGGUAUUCUAAGUAGGAUUCAAGGAUUGGAUGACUGUGACGAGCUUCAAACUCGUGAGUGUUGGGCGUAGUGACAGACACAAAAGGAUCAAUGGAUCCUAUUCCGACAUGAUCGAGAACUGACAGAUGAUUAGCCGUGCUGUGACAGAGCAUUUGGACCAUUUUCACUGAGAGGAUGGGAAAUAGCCAUUGACAACGGUGACGCCCUACAUACAGCUUGCCAUGGAAGGAGCCUUGCAUGUUUGAAAGUAAGAAAGCAUUAUGUUGCAGGGAUUCAGAAGACAAAGCAUCUCCAAAACUCCAACAUAUUCUCCAUUAUCGCGUAACAAUUACUUAUUUUAUGCCCUUUCACUUUUUACAAUUGAAACUAAAGAACCCUAUUGGUAUCCUGACUAAGAAUAAUAAGAUAGCCAUAGCUUGCUUCAAGCCAACAAUCUCCGUGGGAUUAGACCCUUACUCACGUAAGGUAUUACUUGGACGACCCAGUGCACUUGCUGGUUAGUUGUGCGGAAUUACAUAGUGUAAUUUUUGUGCACCAGCCAUAUUGCUGCCAAAUUCUCUGGCACAUGUGUGUUGAGGUAUAUAAGUCUUGAUUUGGUAACUCUUUAGCUGAUUAUCCCAUGCACAAUAAAUUAGCCAUGGACAAGGAUUAAGUUUGAUAGCACCACCACCCACAGCAACCACAUCAAUAGUACCAGCAUCCACUUCUGCGGUCUUAGCAGUAACAGUUUUAACAGAAUCAGUUCCAAAAGUCACAUUUGCAGCCUCUUCAUUCACAGCCUCUUCAUUUGCAGCCUCUGCAUUCUCAUUAGUAGAUGCCUCCUUGGCCCCCUUUGGCUUUCUUGGCUUUUUUAUCCUCUCCACCCCAUGCUCACAAUCAUAUCUAACUCUCCUUUGAUCAUUUUUUAUAUACCUAAUCUUCCUUCCCUCAUAAAUAGCAUGAUCCUUUAGAGUAGUUUUGAAAGACUCAAUUGUGGCAAAUUCCAUUCCCAAUUCAAAAUACACCUCUCCAAAUCCGGUAGCAUCAUUAAAUUGUGGAAAUUCAUACCUCUCUCC